ACUAUCAGUUAAAACAUUCCAAUAUUUACCACUUGUUAAUGCUAGUAGAGUUUCAACGGUCUAACGGCCAAUUUGUCUCCCUAGCAACAAGACACGCCUCCGUUGUUUUAAACGAGGUUGCAAUGGUUACUGCGCGCUCGCUUCGCUCGAACGUGCAGGGAACGCGAGGCUACAUAGCUCGCAAACAGUCUGAUGCGAUUAGAUUCUUUUGUGCGUUCAAGCUCAUUUUGCCGAGUUUCGCUACCUCGAGGUGUAUGAAAUUUAAAGCUCCAAGACGUCAAAUGCGCUCGUCAGCGUAACGGAGGUUUGCCAACUUACUUAAUAGAAGAAGAAGGUAAUGGUGUCCAUACUGUCUUCGCGCAACGGUCGAGUAAGCCGGUAGUUCUCAUCAAGUUGCGAGGUUGGUUGGAAACAUGCAAGUGAGCUAGACGAGGAAAGGAAUACCAGAAUUCGAAGUGAAGGGUUACUCAAGAAUGCACGUCGAUUUGAAGGUGAAGCCAGGAGUUUUGCAUAUUGUCACUUUGCAGAUGUAGCAAUUGAUGACGAAGUGAAAUUAUAAAGGAAAGAGUUCAUAGAAAUAAAUUUUUUCAUAAAAUCGGUCUGGGUAGGGAGUCACGCUCUUUUAAGCGUUCAAACUUAUUUUGACGAAGCACAAUGCAGUUGUAGAACGAGUGCGUUUGCAUCGUAGAAGCCAACAGGAGAAAGAGACAGCGCAAGUCUGCACUGUUGUAUGCAUUUUUGGGAUAAAUUUUGUCCCGUGUGCAUCUAGACGAUCGCAACGGCCUCGUCAUUCUAGGAAUUCCAGAUUCGUAUGUCGCGCCACGUUACCAACGCAGUACUCAUCACAACAUCCUCUUGAUCAUGAACAGGCAGUUGGUGAUGGAGGUUUGGGAAACCUGCAGCUGUCGCCAAUUGCAAGCUCGGAACUACGUAUUUGUCGUGCACGUGACAAUUGUAGUUCAUUAUCACAAUAUUUAAAUUCAUUUUGUGAUAACAGGUGAAAUAGAUUUUCAAGCUGCAGGGCUAGCGACAACUGCAUGUAGCGUACCCACUUCCAAGCAACAGGUGCAUGGUUUUGAACAAUCAUGACAAUGGGCUGCCUGUGGCGCUGGGACUUUUAGCUAAACGACAGAUUCUUUUUUGAUUGAAAUAAUUCAAAUUAUCGAUGGGAAGACGAUUCUACCCGGAUGCAGAAGAAGACAACUGACAUCAAGGGCACUAAAUCAGGAAAAAAUUAUAUGGAAUCAAGAGAACUGUCAAAUAAUUUAUUUUGUGAUUUUGUAAUUUGUAUUAUAUCAUUUUGUAAUUAACAUAAUUAUUUUGAUAAUAAAGGAAAUUUGCAUA